UACGUAGGAGGCAAGCGUUGUCCGGAAUUACUGGGCGUAAAGCGCGUGUAGGUGGUGGGACAAGUCUGCUGUGAAAGCGCCUGGCUUAACCGGGCGAGGUCGGCGGAAACCAUUUGGCUAGAGUCCGGAAGAGGAGAGUGGAAUUCCUGGUGUAGCGGUGAUAUGCGUAGAUAUGUGGAGGAACACCAGUGGCGAAGGCGACUCUCUGGUCUGUAACUGACGCUGAGGCGCGAAAGCGUGGGGGAGCAAACAGG
rnacentral:rRNA from 1 species